rnacentral:sRNA from 1 species
UUUAACGUGAUUUAACACUUAUUAACGUGAAUACCAAUGAACAAUGAGUGUUACCCUAUUAUUAUGACGGAAUAGGUUAUGCACUCCCCCAAGUUCAUAACAUUCUACUUUACCGAAGCUGUGAAUACAGAUUCGUUGUUAUGCGUAAUGAUCACCCCAAUCGUUACGCUUUUUUUUUGCCUGUUUUAUUA